GGAAGGAUCAUUCCAAACUAAAACCGCAAACAUACCUUUGAAAAAAGUGAUGUUUUGCACCUCAAUCUACACGCUCAUAUUUUUUCUACUCUACAUUUUCCCUUUUUCAGAUGUACAUCUGAAGACCUUUAUUUGACCCAAAAGCCUAAAAUUUUAGGAUCAUGACGGUGGAUACAUUGGUUUCUGGAACGAUGAAGAACGUAGCGAAACGCGAUAUUUAAUGCGAAUUGCAGAAUUCAGUGAAUCAUCAAGUUUUCGAACGCAGCUUGCAAUCAUUGGUUAUUCCUUUGAUUGUGCUUUCUUGACAUGCACGCUCAAUCAAAACUGUAGAUUUCUUGUCUUCUGGAUGAGAAGUCACACAGUGUCUGAAUCUUGAUGAACUAGGUGUGAGGCCUAGUCUUCAAAAGACAGCGAGCUCGUUGCUUCAUUGAUUUGGGAUGCUGGAAUAUGCUCUCAGUUGCAGAUUGUUCACACUCUUUGCAAAAGUGAGUUGAUUUCGUAUCCUUCGAGUCGGUGGUGGUCGCUAGAGCUAAAGUGCACAUUGUGUGCUCAAAUGACAAACAAUUGUUGUGUCAAGCAAAGCACGGAGACCCCCUGAAUUUAAGCAUAUAACUAAGGGGAGGAAAGCAAACUAAAAAGGAUUCUCAUAGUAACUGCGAGUGAACUGAGAAAAGCUCAAGUCUGUAAUCCUCUUGGUUCAUCCAAGAAGACAUGUGGCUUGUGGAGACAUGUCCAGAGUGUGGCCCAGGUCUAAGUUCACUGAAAAGUGAUGCGAAGCAGGGUGAUAGCCCCGUUCACGGCUUGGAGUUCGCCUCGUACGGACUGUUUUCUGAGAGUCGGAUUGCUUGGGAGUGCAAUCUUAAUGGGAGGUAAAUUCCUUCCAAGGCUAAAUAUUUCCAGAAAACCGAUAGCACACAAGUACCGCGAGGGAAAUGCAAGAAUGUCUGGUACUUUUGUGUAUAAACGAAUCCCAUUGACCCGUCUUGAAACACGGACCAAGGAGUGUAACGCUUGUGCGAGUGUUCGGGCAUUGAAAUCCCGAAUGCGAAAUGAAAGUGUAGGUGAGGAUUCAUCUUUACUGUGAUGUUCAUCCGUGCAUGUUGCGGAGUCAGCAUCGCCCGGCUUCUUCCUUUGUGAGAGGUUCGAGCUAGAGCACAGUCGAUACGACCCGAAAGAUGGUGAGCUAUACCUGCGCAGGGUGAAGCCAGGGGAAACUCUGGUGGAAGCUCGUAGCGGUACUGACGUGCAAAUCGUUCGUCUGACGUGGGUAUAGGGGCGAAAGACCUAUCGAACUAUCUAGUAGCUGGUUCCCUC
rnacentral:misc_RNA from 1 species